UCUUUGGAGAGUUUGAUUCUGGCUCAGGACUAACGUUGGCGGCGUGCCUAAUACAUGCAAGUCGAACGGAACUGCAGUAGCAAUAUUGCAGUUUAGUGGCGAACGGGUGAGUAAUGAAUGGGUAACGUUCCUUAAAGACUGGGAUAGCUAUCCGAAAGGAUAGAUAAUACCAGAUGUGAACACAUAGACCCAAGUUUAUAUGUUCAAAGGAUGGCCUCUACUUGUAAGCUAUCGCUUUAAGAUCGGCCCAUUUCCUAUCAGCUAGUUGGUAGGGUAAUAGCCUACCAAGGCAGCAACGGGUAGCCGGUCUGAGAGGAUGUUCGGCCACACUGGGACUGAGAUACGGCCCAGACUCCUACGGGAGGCAGCAGUAGGGAAUUUUCCGCAAUGGGCGAAAGCCUGACGGAGCGACGCCGCGUGAGGGAUGAAGGCCUUCGGGUUGUAAACCUCUUUUAUCAGGGACCAAGGCGUUUGUGUAAAUAAUACAAACGUUUGAUUGUACUUGAUGAAUAAGCUACGGCUAACUCUGUGCCAGCAGCCGCGGUAAUACAGAGGUAGCUAACGUUGUCCGGAUUUACUGGGCGUAAAGAGAUCGUAGGUGGACAAACAAGUCAGAUGUGAAAUCUUCCCGCUUAACGGGAAAAUUGCAUUUGAUACUGUUUGCCUUGAGUGCGAAGGGAGAAAAUGGAAUUUCCGGUGUAGCGGUAAAAUGCGUAGAUAUCGGAAAGAACACCAGUGGCGAAAGCGGUUUUCUAUUUCGCAACUGACACUGAGGAUCGAAAGCCAGGGGAGCAAACGGGAUUAGAUACCCCGGUAGUCCUGGCCAUAAACUAUGCUCACUAGGUAUGGGUGGUUAAUUCUAUCCGUGCCGCCGCUAAUGCAUUAAGUGAGCCGCCUGGGGACUACGGCCGCAAGGUUGAAACUCAAAGAAAUUGACGGGGGCCCGCACAAGCGGUGGAGCAUGUGGUUCAAUUCGACGCAACGCGAAGAACCUUACCUGGGCUUGACAUGCUUUUGAAAGCCCGUAGAAAUAUGGGCCCUCUAUCCGAAAGGAUGGACAAUUGCACAGGUGUUGCAUGGCUGUCGUCAGCUCGUGCCGUGAGGUGUUGGGUUAAGUCCUCUAACGAGCGCAACCCCUAUCUUUAGUUGUCAGCGGGUUAUGCCGGACACUCUAACGAAACUGCCUGGUUUAACCAGGAGGAAGGUGGGGAUGACGUCAAGUCAUCAUGGCCCUUAUGUCCAGGGUUACACACGUGCUACAAUGGCAGACACAAAGGGCUGCGAGACCGUGAGGUGGAGCCAAUCCCUAAAAGUCUGUCUCAGUUCAGAUUGGAGUCUGCAACCCGACUCCAUGAAGCCGGAAUCGCUAGUAAUCGUGGAUCAGCUACGCCACGGUGAAUACGUUCUCGGGCCUUGUACACACCGCCCGUCAAGCCACGAAAGUUAUUUGUACCAGAAGACGCCUAUCUAACCGUAAGGAUGUAAGCGGACAAGGUAUGAAUAAUGAUUGGGGCUAAGUCGUAACAAGGUAGUCGUACCGGAAGGUGCGGCUGGAUCACCUCCUUU
rnacentral:rRNA from 1 species